rnacentral:rRNA from 1 species
CCUACGGGAGGCAGCAGUGAGGAAUAUUGGUCAAUGGCCGUAAGGCUGAACCAGCCAUGCCGCGUGAAGGUCAGUGCCCUAUGGGCGUUAAACUUCUUUUGUGCGGGAGCAAUAAUGGUCACGUGUGGCCAGACGAGAGUACCGUACGAAUAAGCAUCGGCUAACUCCGUGCCAGCCGCCGGGGUAAUACGGGGGGGUCAAGCGUUUUCCGGAUUUAUUGGGUUUAAAGGGUGCGUAAGCUGUGAGGUAAAGCAGCGGUGAAAUGCCCCCGCGCAACGGGGGGAAGUGCCAUUGAAACUGGCUUGCUGGAAUGCGGAUGCCGUGGGAGGAAUGUGUGGUGUAGCGGUGAAAUGCAUAGAUAUCACACAGAACACCGAUUGCGAAGGCAUCUCACGAAUCCGCGAUUGACGCUGAUGCACGAAAGCGUGGGUAUCAAACAGGAUUAGAUACCCCUGUAGUC